rnacentral:tRNA from 1 species
UAGGAAGUAGUGUAGUGGAAGCACACGGAGUUUUGAUCUCCGCGGGAUGGGUUCGAGUCCCUUCUACCUAG